GUGGGAAAUAUUGGACAAUGGGCGAAAGCCUGAUCCAGCCAUGCCGCGUGUGUGAAGAAGGUCUUCGGAUUGUAAAGCACUUUAAGUUGGGAGGAAGGGUAGUAACCUAAUACGUUGCUACUUUGACGUUACCGACAGAAUAAGCACCGGCUAACUUCGUGCCAGCAGCCGCGGUAAUACGAAGGGUGCAAGCGUUAAUCGGAAUUACUGGGCGUAAAGCGCGCGUAGGUGGUUCAGUAAGUUGGAAGUGAAAUCCCCGGGCUCAACCUGGGAACUGCUUUCAAAACUGCUGAGCUAGAGUACGGUAGAGGGUGGUGGAAUUUCCUGUGUAGCGGUGAAAUGCGUAGAUAUAGGAAGGAACACCAGUGGCGAAGGCGACCACCUGGACUGAUACUGACACUGAGGUGCGAAAGCGUGGGGAGCAAACAGGAUUAGAAACCCCGGUAGUCC
rnacentral:rRNA from 1 species